CCUGAAUAAACCAAUCUACGGAAUACUCAUUUGAAGGAUCGAAGCACGCUGACUGAGAAGAACGCAUUCUGUUGUGCUGGUUGGAAUGACUAGGUCUCCGCCACGUUUCAGACAAUCUGUGCGAGCUGUGUCCCAAGUGACCUUGUUCUUCACAAACAGGUAACAGCUGUUCAACAUUUUCCUCCAACCACAGGGGCACGGGAUUUUAU
rnacentral:lncRNA from 1 species